rnacentral:lncRNA from 1 species
CUGCAUCUGCCAACAAGACUGGAAGCAGAAAGGGACAGAGACGGCGAAGUUUGACGGUCUGGAAAGCAGAGACCAGCAGGGCUGACUGCUUGGGAGCACCAAAUAUCCGGACAGCGCCUCUCGGGAGGUCCGAGAAGAGAACCGCGAUCUGUUUCAGCACCGGGGCUCAGGACAGUUCCCAGCGGGCUCCGUUUCGUCUCCAGAACCCUGGACAGCUCCUCCAGCCUCAGGGCUUUUGCCUCUGCUGUUCCUGCAGCUUGGAAUGCACUCCCUCCACCUCCAACCAGAGCUCCCCACAACUGACCCUGCCUUCUUCUGCAAGCUCCAUUUCAUCAAGGGAAACGAUCCUUAUUGCCUCACCAUUUCCCACGUGAAGUCUGUAUUGACAUUCUCAUAGACCUGGGAUAUUGUGUCUGCAGCACAUAGUCCAAUUAUUUUCAUGUUAUCUACUGACAGGUCUAUUUGUCUCCCUGUUACACUGUGAGCUCCGUGAGGGCAGAAACAAUGUUAGUAUUUUCACUGCUGUGUCCCCAGCGCCUGGUCCGGGGCCCGGCACACAGCAGGCAUAUAAUAAGCAUGUGUUGAAUCAAUAAAGGCAUCAAAGAAUAAACCAAUACAUCAAUCAAUAAAUGAAUGAAUGGCCUCAGC